AAAAAUAUACAAGAUAGAUAUAUCAAGGGGUGGUGAAGUCACUUCCUGUCAUCUGGAUUUUAUAAGCAAGUGUUGGUUUGCUCUCUGUAAAUGACAGGAAACAAAUCAGCAUAAUGAUUCUGCUCUUUUUAUCUCAAAUCUUGCAGGCUGGUCUUAUGGCAAGUCAUCGAGUUGAACAAUCUCCUCCUUACCUGAUCAAAAAUCACACAGAAUCUGCUCUGCUCUAUUGCUCCUAUGCAGUCAAGAACUCUGAGCAAAUUCUCUGGUACAGGCAGUCUAAGGAAAUGAAAUUAAUUUUCCUUGGAUAUCAGAAUAUCAAAUACACCUAUUCAGAACAAGAUGCAAAAAUAAACCUUGAUGAAGAUACGAACAGUAAUGCCACACUUACAAUUAGUAACCUGGUAGCAAAAGACAGCAGUGUUUAUUUCUGUGUGGUACAGAUUCACAGUGUGUCAGUGUUCCCUCCACCCUGUACAAAAACACAUAUCUCAGGAUGUAUCUAACACAUAUGUGCUACACUGAUGGAUAUCACUGUUCAUGCAACUGCAGCAACAGCUAAAGUGGUUCAUUUAGUCUCUCACAUUUUUACUUCCCCAUUUGCAGGAUCCCAUAUGUGUCUUCAGCAUCGUUAUGUAUAUAUUUAAGUACCUAAUACCUAGAACU